UACAGAGGGUGCGAGCGUUGUUCGGAAUUACUGGGCGUAAAGCGCGCGCAGGCGGCCCUUAAGUCUGUCGGUCAAACGCCGGGGCUCAACCCCGUGCUCGCCGGAGAUACUGGAGGGCUGGAGACACGUAGAGGCAAGCGGAAUUCCGGGUGUAGCGGUGGAAUGCGUAGAGAUCCGGAAGAACACCGGAGGCGAAGGCGGCUUGCUGGGCGUUGUCUGACGCUGAGGCGCGAAAGCGUGGGGAGCGAACAGG
rnacentral:rRNA from 1 species